rnacentral:rRNA from 1 species
UAGGGAAUUUUCGACAAUGGGGGCAACCCUGAUCGAGCAACGCCGCGUGAACGAAGAAGUACUUCGGUACGUAAAGUUCUUUUAUUAGGGAAGAAUAGCUGAUGGAAAAAUCAGAAUGACGGUACCUAAUGAAUAAGCCCCGGCUAACUAUGUGCCAGCAGCCGCGGUAAUACAUAGGGGGCAAGCGUUAUCCGGAAUUAUUGGGCGUAAAGGGUGCGUAGGCGGCUUUCUAAGUCUGAGGUAUAAGUGCAGUGCUCAACGCUGUGAUGCUUUGGAAACUGGAAAGCUAGAGUGAGAUAGAGGCAAGUGGAAUUCCAUGUGUAGCGGUAAAAUGCGUAAAUAUAUGGAGGAACACCAGUGGCGAAGGCGGCUUGCUGGGUCUAUACUGACGCUGAGGCAC